rnacentral:rRNA from 12 species
UGGGGAGCAAACAGGAUUAGAUACCCUGGUAGUCCACGCCCUAAACGAUGUCAACUAGGUGUAUGGAGAAUUUAUUCUUUGUGUAUCGAAGCUAACGCGAUAAGUUGACCGCCUGGGGAGUACGGCCGCAAGGUUGAAACUCAAAGGAAUUGACGGGGUCCCGCACAAGCGGUGGAGCAUGUGGUUUAAUUCGACGCAACGCGAAGAACCUUACCUGGCCUUGACAUGCAGAGAACUUUCCAGAGAUGGAUUGGUGCCUUCGGGAACUCUGACACAGGUGCUGCAUGGCCGUCGUCAGCUCGUGUCGUGAGAUGUUGGGUUAAGU